rnacentral:rRNA from 1 species
GACGAACGCUGGCGGCGUGCUUAACACAUGCAAGUCGAACGGAAAGGCCCUGCUUUUGUGGGGUGCUCGAGUGGCGAACGGGUGAGUAACACGUGAGUAACCUGCCCUGUACUUGGGGAUAACUUCAGGAAACGGGGGCUAAUACCGGAUAGGAGCUCCUGCUGCAUGGUGUUGGUUGGAAAGUUUCGGCGGUUGGGGAUGGACUCGCGGCUUAGCAGCUUGUUGGUGGGGUAGUGGCUUACCAAGGCUUUGACGGGUAGCCGGCCUGAGAGGGUGACAGGCCCCAUUGGGACAGAGAUGCCGCCAGGACUCCUACGGGGGGAAGCAGUGGAGGAUAGUGCACGAUGGGCGGAAGCAUGAUGCAGCAACGCCGCGUGCGGGAUGACUGUCUUAGGGUUGUAACCCGCUUUCGACUGUGAAGAAGAGUGAGUGACGGUAAUGGGUAAAGAAGCACCGGCUAACUACGUG